rnacentral:rRNA from 1 species
UACGAGGGGGGGCGAGCGUUUGUUCGGAAUUAUUGGGCGUAAAGGGUGCGUAGGCGGUUUGGUAAGUCUUGUGUGAAAUCUACAGGCUCAACUUGUAGUCUGCACGAGAAACUGCCGGGCUUGAGUGUGGGAGAGGUGAGUGGAAUUCCUGGUGUAGCGGUGAAAUGCGUAGAUAUCAGGAGGAACACCUGUGGCGAAAGCGGCUCACUGGACCAUAACUGACGCUGAUGCGCGAAAGCGUGGGUAGCAAACGGG